UGGGAGAGGGGAUUGGCAGGACAGACGAGGGAGAAAAGAUAGAAGGCAAGUGGAGAACUCGAUGAAAAUUCCUGCUGAAGCCCCUCAAGGUCUCAUGCUGAAGUCCGAUAUAUCACUGAAACGCUGAAUAGUGUUCCCUCCCGCAGACACCUUUGCCUGACAAGAAAGAAUGAAACAGACAUUCAGCAUAGCAGCCCAAGCCUUUUCCCCAAGGAUCUACAUUUUGUACUGGCUUCUUUUCUCCUGUCAGGGAAGAUGGUUCAUUUGCUUAAUAAGGAAAUCUGUACCAUUCACUCAUUUGCCUACAGAUAUUAAGCUUCAGGAUUUCUGUGAUGCCAUAAUAAUCCUGGGAAGGAGACUCAACAGGUAAAUUCAUCUCAUUUGCAGAGGUGGACAUCGAAGCCCAGAGGGAUGGACUGCUUUUGUCCAAGGGAGAGAGCAUCUAGGAGACAGGACGGUGAAUGAGCACUAGAGACGGAGAGGACGUGGUCCAGGGGAAAUGAUGCCGUUAUCAGCCACAGCCACAGUCUGAGAGGCAUCCAGGAGAACGGCUCCCUCACUGCAGAAGGGAAACACGCCGCUCGCCUGUCAGCAGACCCGGGCUAGCACAUUCCCUGGAGGUUUCUCGGAGCACAUGGCGUGCUUUUGUUCCUGCGGACGAGAGGGCCUGUCACUGAGCUAGCUGUCCCUGGCCUUGCGAUCCUCUCCGUCAUAAUGUUGUUUCUCAGAUCUUGCUGCUGUGACUCAGGCUCCCGUCCUGUUUGGGGGCUGCUGUGAUUUCACCUGUGCAUCUCAUCCAUGCUGGUGCUCACUCUCACCAGGGCUCCUCAGCCUGGCACCUCCACUAACCCAUCAAGAGCCUGGCGGGGUAUAAUAACUUCUCUGAGAAGAACAGUUUCCCAUUGUGUGUUUGAGAUGUUAGGAAUCAAAAUCCAACCUACGCUGUCACCCUCUUUCACAGAAGGAGUUGAUUCUGGUAGUAGACAUGAAACACUCUGUUCAGGGAAGGGAUUAACACAGGGUGGGAGCUCUCAAACAUGCCCUGGAACCAGCAGCUGCAGCACCCGGGAACUAUUAGAACUGUGAAUUCCCAGACCCAUCCCCGACAGCCUGAAGAUGGGCUCCAGCAGUCUGGGUUUUCACAAGCUCUCUGGGUGAUGCUGAUGCUCAACAGAUGCAAGACAACUGCCAAGUGCAUCUUAUUUUGGGUUGGCUGUUUUGUGUUUUCAUAAUGCUCUCAUAUGCAUCAUCUUGCUGAAUCUUCACAUGAUUUUAGGUAAUUGGCUGGAGAAGACAAAGCUGUGGGUUAUGCCCAUUUUGCAGGUGAAAAGGUGAAAAUCAUCAAUGUUGCAUAAUUUGCUCGUGGUUCCCCACUGCUGGAUCUUGAAAUUGCCUUUCUACUUCUUGGCCACUCUAACCCAGUGAUGGAAACAGAAAUGAGUAUUUAAGAGAACAGUAUCAGAACUUGAAAAGGAGGGUUUCAUGAUCCUCUGGGUAUGAUGUAAACCACACUAGAAAGUCCCAUCAUCACCUUAGGAAAGGGGAAGACCUGAGGGUAAGGCUCAGUGACUUCAUUAGCCAUGAAGAGUGCAUGGUUAGGGUCUAACAUUGGAAAGACAGAGGGCAAAUUGGGCCCUAUUACCUGUCAUUUACUGUGGGUCCUUGGUUAAAGUCUCAGCUUCUCUUAACCUUGGUUUCUGACUAUAAAAGAGGGCUGAGGAUAGAAGAAUGUAGCAUAGAGGUUGCAUCAAGGGUCAAAGAAUAUAUGCAGUGAGUUCAUUUGCAUACACUUCAAUCAUAGUGAGUGGUCAAUUUUUAUGUUACUGUUAUUAUUAGGAAGACUUGCUUAUUACUCAGCUCUUAACUAUCCAAGAAGGUGAGUGAUAUAUUAAAAUGAGCCCACAUUCACUGAACUCCUCUCCCAUGCCUGGGUUUGCUUCAUGGGGUGUCCUCAUAGGUACAGGGCAGGGAGUUGGGUGAGAUUUCUGGCUGAGAAGGCUGGGACUUGGACAGGAGCAUUUCCCAGAGUGUUGGGAUUUCAAAGAUAGAGGGAGACUGGAGUUAAGAACAGAGAACCCAGCCAUGUGAGACCAUGUGCUGGACAAGUUACCAUGACGGAAUGGGCAGAUGGGGACCUAAUUUACAACUCUUUAAGGAUGGGUUCCGUGAACCAUGGAUGGAAAUGGUAGCCUAUUUUAUUAUGGGCCUGGUAUUGUGGCACAAUAUAGUCUGAUGUUAGCUCUCUGCCGUGCUAGACGUUCUAGCAGAUUAAGCUUAAUAUUGUAGUUUUGAAGGAUGUUGGGAAUUACUGGAAGUGAAUCAUUUCCUUACCUCCUGCAAUGAUAGGGGAGAGCACAAGGAUCAUUUGUGAUGUUCCCUUCCCUGUCAGGAGAAAAGGCAUGACUCACUUUAUUGUAGGUGUCUUCUUUAGGUCAUGUUUAGAGAGUAUAAUGAGACUACUCCAUGGGAAGGCAAAGCAGGUCUCUAUCUGUCUCUUGUCCUACCCCUGACUUCAUAGCUCAGGUGGACCCUGGCCCUGUUUAUGCAUCUGAUUGGGAAAGGUCACUCAGGUUCUGUUCUCCAGGCUCAUUUGUCCUCUGCACCCACUCCAUCAAUCUCCCUCAAGGUUGUUUGCUAGGUGGAAGGGGGCUUUCUCCCUACUAGUCACAUCCUCCAGUCCAGAUUUUAUCAGAACUUGGUUAUGAAAUGUCUUAUGUCUGUAUGACUAUUAUUUAUUUGUAUUUAAUUGUUAUAUAUGUGAUUAUAAUAUAGUCAUAUACUAAUAGAAAUACAACUGAUUUGUAUUAGUUGAUCAGUACACGCUAUGGACUGAAUAUUUGUGUCUUCCAAAAUCCACAUGUUGAAAUACAAUGUGAUGAUAUUUGAAGGUGGGGGCCUUUGAGUGAUUGGGUUUAGGUGAGGCCAUGAGGGUGGGCCUGCAUGAUGGGAUUGAGUCCUAAGAUGAAGAGGAAGAGAGAUCCAUGCCUUCUCUCUCUCUCCCAUGUGAAUAUACAAGGAGACAGUGACUGUCUUCAAGCCAGGGAGAGGGCUCUUAUCUGGAACUGAAUAUGUCAGUAUCUUCUUCUUGGACUUUCGUCCUCUGUAAC